CCCUUAGAUGUUCUGGGCCGCACGCGCGCUACACUGACGAUGGCAACGAGUUUUUCCUUCGCCGAAAGGUGUGGGUAAUCUUUUGAAACAUCGUCGUGCUGGGGAUAGAUCAUUGCAAUUUUUGAUCUUGAACGAGGAAUUCCUAGUAAGCGCGAGUCAUCAGCUCGCGUUGAUUACGUCCCUGCCCUUUGUACACACCGCCCGUCGCUACUGCCGAUUGAAUGGUUUAGUGAGGACUCCUGAUUGGCGCCGCCGCCCCGGCAACGGAGCAGCGGACUGCCGAAAAGUUGUUCAAACUUGAUCAUUUAGAGGAAGUAAAAGUCGUAACA
rnacentral:rRNA from 1 species